rnacentral:rRNA from 1 species
UACGAAGGGGGCUAGCGUUGUUCGGAAUUACUGGGCGUAAAGCGCGUGUAGGCGGGUCUUUAAGUCAGAGGUGAAAUGCCAAGGCUCAACCUUGGAACUGCCUUUGAUACUGGAGAUCUUGAGUCCGGGAGAGGUGAGUGGAAUUGCGAGUGUAGAGGUGAAAUUCGUAGAUAUUCGCAAGAACACCAGUGGCGAAGGCGGCUCACUGGCUCGGUACUGACGCUGAGGUGCGAAAGCGUGGGGAGCAAACAGG